CGACCCUCAAGCACAGCUUGGUGUUGGGCGUGGUCCUGCUACAGGACCCGCCCGUAACUCGUAGGCGGCCGCCGCCCGCGCCCCCAGCGUAGCAAGCUCACGCGUUCGCUCGGGACGGCGCGUCUGGCCCGCCAGGCAAAACGCAAACCCUUCCAAG
rnacentral:misc_RNA from 1 species